AGAGUUUGAUCCUAGCUCAGAUUGAACGCUGGCGGUAUGCUUAACACAUGCAAGUCGUACGAGAAAGUUUUUAAUGAGUAAAGUGGCGAACGGGUGAGUAAUGCAUAGGAAUCUACCUUAAAGUGGGGGAUAGCUUAAGGAAACUUAAGGUAAUACCGCAUGUUUUCUAUGGAAAAAAGUAGGGGAUUAAUUUUUUUUAGAUUAACCUUACGCUUUAAGAUGAGCCUAUGUCAGAUUAGUUUGUUGGUAAGGUAAAUGCUUACCAAGACAAAGAUCUGUAGCUGUUCUGAGAGGAUGAUCAGCCACACUGGGACUGAGAUACGGCCCAGACUCCUACGGGAGGCAGCAGUGAGGAAUAUUGGACAAUGGGCGCAAGCCUGAUCCAGCAAUACCGCGUGUGCGAUGAAGGCCUUCGGGUUGUAAAGCACUUUCGAUAAAGAAGAAAAGAUUAUUUAUAAUAUAUUUAAUUUAUGACGUUAUUUAUAGAAGAAGCACCGGCUAACUCUGUGCCAGCAGCCGCGGUAAUACAGGGGGUGCGAGCGUUAAUCAGAAUUAUUGGGCGUAAAAAGCACGUAGGUGGUUUUUUAAGUUAAUUGUGAAAUCCCUAAGCCUAACUUAGGAAGUGCAGUUAAUACUAAAUUUCUAGAAUAUGAUAGAGGGAAGUGGAAUUCUCGGUGUAGCGGUGAAAUGCUUAGAUAUCGAGAAGAACACCAGUGGCGAAGGCGACUUCCUGGAUCAAUAUUGACACUGAGGUGCGAAAGCGUGGGUAGCAAACAGGAUUAGAGACCCUGGUAGUCCACGCUGUAAACGAUGAAAACUAGAUGUUAAAAAUUAUAUUUUAGUAUCGUAGCUAACGCGUUAAGUUUUCUGCCUGGGGAGUACUGCCGCAAGGUUAAAACUCAAAGGAAUUGACGGGGGCCCGCACAAGCGGUGGAGCAUGUGGUUUAAUUCGAUGCAACGCGAAGAACCUUACCUACUUUUGACAUCCUUGUUUAUAUUUAAUAGAGAUAUUAAUCUCUCUAUAUUUUAUUAUAUAGGGAAGCAAGUGACAGGUGCUGCAUGGCUGUCGUCAGCUCGUGUCGUGAGAUGUUGGGUUAAGUCCCGCAACGAGCGCAACCCUUGUCUUUAGUUGCCAUCAUUAAGUUGGGCACUCUAAAGAGACUGCCGGUGACAAACCGGAGGAAGGUGGGGAUGACGUCAAGUCAUCAUGCCCCUUAUGACCUGGGCUACACACGUGCUACAAUGGGCAGUACAACGAGAAGCGAACCCGCGAGGGUAAGCGGAUCUCUUAAAGCUGCUCUCAGUUCGGACUGCAGGCUGCAACUCGCCUGCACGAAGCUGGAAUCGCUAGUAAUCGCGGAUCAGCACGCCGCGGUGAAUACGUUCCCGGGCCUUGUACACACCGCCCGUCACACCAUGGAAGUCUGCAAUGCCCAAAGUCGGUGAGAUAACCUUUAUAGGAGUCAGCCGCCUAAGGCAGGGCAGAUGACUGGGGUGAAGUCGUAACAAGGUAGCCGUAGGAGAACCUGCGGCUG
rnacentral:rRNA from 1 species